AUCUUUCUACAAAUUAUACCUCUUAUAACAAUUGUUUGUAACAAACGAAAGAAUUAUAGAAAUACAAGAAUAAUGAGAAAGGGAUAGCUAAGGGGAGAUGUCCCCUUCAUGGUGGGACAUUAUGUUGGGGUGUUAAAAAAAAAUACACGAAUGGGCACAUUUGGUGGCUUUUUUCAACUUCAGACAAACAUAGUCCCAAAGUUGAGACCAAUCCCUAAUUUCCCAUUCUUCUUGUCUUCAUUUGGGCCUCCAUUGUCAAUAUCUGACACCCCAUCUGUCUGAAUCCAUGAAAACUACAUCCUCCUUUUAUUAAAUCG